UUGAUAUCUCCGGUGAAACAGCAAUUCCCUUAUGAUCACCGAAGUUAAGCAAUGUCGAGCCAGGUCAGUACCUAGAUGGGCGACUGUUUGGGAAUACCAGGUGCUGUAAG